UCACCUCCGCAGGUGGCCCCCAGGCUGGGCUGGGCAAGUAUUUCUUUGAGAGGCUCACCCUCAAGCACGACUAGGAGC
rnacentral:pre_miRNA from 1 species